UACGUAGGUGGCAAGCGUUAUCCGGAUUUAUUGGGCGUAAAGAGAACGCAAGCGGUCUUUUAAGUCUGAUGUGAAAGCCUUCGGCUUAACCGGAGUAGUGCAUUGGAAACUGGGAGACUUGAGUGCAGAAGAGGAGAGUGGAACUCCAUGUGUAGCGGUGAAAUGCGUAGAUAUAUGGAAGAACACCAGUGGCGAAAGCGGCUCUCUGGUCUGUAACUGACGCUGAGGUUCGAAAGCGUGGGUAGCAAAUAGG
rnacentral:rRNA from 1 species